rnacentral:rRNA from 1 species
AUGGAGCGUGCCAGGGGGCUGCAAUGGACCACGCCAGCUGCAAUGGAGCUCCGCCGCGGCUGCAGUGGAGCGCGGCCGGGGAUGCAAUGGAUCUUCGUCGGAACGCCGCGCGCCGGUGGCUGCAAUGGAGCUCCGCGUUGGCUGCAAUGGAGCUUCGUCGGAACCCCGCGCACCGGUGGCUGCAAUGAAGCUCCGCCGCGGCUGCAAUGGAGCACGGCGGGGGCGGCAAUGGAGCUUCGCCGGGACGCCGGCGGUGCUGCGCCGGAGCUUUUUUUUCGUGCCGCGGUGCUGCGAUGGAUCUGCAGUGGAGCUUCCCCGGUGGUCGUCGGCAUUGCGUUGAGCUUGUUUUCCAUCGUCUCCGGUGCGGCUGCGUUGGAGCUCUGCCGGUGGCUCCGGUACUGUGAGGUCGCCGACGCAGGCGCCACGGUGAGGUGGGAUUGA